rnacentral:rRNA from 1 species
UACGUAGGGCGCAAGCGUUGUCCGGAAUUAUUGGGCGUAAAGAGCUCGUAGGCGGUCUGUCGCGUCUGGUGUGAAAACUCGAGGCUCAACCUCGAGCUUGCAUCGGGUACGGGCAGACUAGAGUGCGGUAGGGGAGACUGGAAUUCCUGGUGUAGCGGUGGAAUGCGCAGAUAUCAGGAGGAACACCGAUGGCGAAGGCAGAUCUCUGGGCCGUAACUGACGCUGAGGAGCGAAAGCAUGGGGAGCGAACAGG